UACAGAGGAUGCAAGCGUUAUCCGGAAUGAUUGGGCGUAAAGCGUCUGUAGGUGGCUUUUUAAGUCCGCCGUCAAAUCCCAGGGCUCAACUCUGGACAGGCGGUGGAAACUACCAAGCUGGAGUACGGUAGGGGCAGAGGGAAUUUCCGGUGGAGCGGUGAAAUGCGUAGAGAUCGGAAAGAACACCUGUGGCGAAAGCGGCUCACUGGACCAUUACUGACGCUGAGGCACGAAAGCUAGGGGAGCAAACAGG
rnacentral:rRNA from 1 species